AUAAAUAAAUAAGUAUAUCCUCCAUUCCCGUCUCCAAAACUGUCCUGUCAAAUGCGUAAUGACGUCAUACGUCAUGCUGUGCGUCCUGUCACGUGACGGUGCGCGGCCAAUCGGGUUGUUUUAUAUCCGGAAGUCACUCGCGAGCCGCGAGCUUCGAGAGGGGGACGCGUUGGGAACAUUUGCUGCAAGGAGCCAACUACCGGAGCCGCCAGGCAUCGUGUGGAGUCGCGGGUGUUGAUUAAAGAAGGAAUUGGCCAGGUGAUGGCGAGCUAGACCCAAAGAAUUAUAGGCUCACACUGCCUGAAGAACCCUGGAGCUCGAACUGAAGUGAACUGAACUGGACCUCCUGCACCUCCUCCACCUGGUUGGGCUGGUAGGAGGCUCCUUUAAGGCAGCCGCCCCUCUCUUUUACUUUUUGCCCCUCGCAACAACUCAUUCUUGGCCCAAACCCAUUCACCACUCGUUCAAUACUCCCUUUCCCUGGACACCGCCCUUUCCCUCUGGACUCUGGACAAUUUGGGCCACUGAACUGUUGCGUGUGUUCUAUCUCGGCUGAACUUCAGAACUCUUUCGCGCGUCUAAUGGAUCGUUUCUCGCGUGAUAAUGGAUCCAUCGAAUAAUGUUUUCUUGUGAAAUAAUUGUGACUUAAUUCUGUACUUCUCAUGAAUGGCCAUUCACUUUAAAUGUUAAAUGUUGUCUAUGUCAAAAUAUAAUAUAAUUGGUACCACCUAAAACUUA